CAAGUGAGCGAAUCAUAAUUAUCUAAAUAUAUAACUCCGACUCCGAAGAAGCUGAUAUCAACUGCAAAUAACAACAAGAUUUUAGGCUUUAUGAAAUUAUAAGUUUUCACCGACAAGUAAUUUACCUCAAAGACGACAUGCCUACCAUCACAACACUAUUAUAUAUAUAAUGGCUAAAUUGGACGGAAGACAGCUAUAAAUAAACUAUAAUAAUACGUGUCAGACUGUCAGAAGAUGGCAAAACGAAAUAUAGACAUUUUAAACCUCAAUGAAAUCCUUAAAAUAUUCAAUAUUCUGAAAAUUGAAUACGAUGAAAAUAACACCCUACCAGUAUUCAAGGGAAUUCUUAAAAAGAAAAUGGAAGAGCAGGGCUUUGACAAUGGAGUACAUCCGGCAGUUUUUGCAGUAAGAGAAGCAAAGUUGAAAGAUAUUUCAAAGAGUGAAGCUCCAUUAAAAUAUAUCCAUACGUAUGUAAAUAGACUCGAAUAUAGAGUUUAUUAUUAUAAUCUUUCAUAAGACUUUACUGAAGUUUAACGCUGUCUAAAAUUGUAUUGUCUAAAUAUUGUAGCUGCAUGUAUCGCUAUUAAUUUUCAUUAAGGUGAAAUUAGUUCAGGAAGUAGUACCAUGCCAAAUUUAAUUCUCGGUGAAGAUGCAGUUCCACAUCACACUCUUUGUUCGACUUCAACUAUCUGUGAGGUUAAAUAUGGUGAAGUAAGAACGGUUGUUUUACACGAAAAGCUCAAGAGUUGCGUUGAUAGUCGACAAACGCCUACAACAAUCCAGUUACAACACGAGAGUUUCUGUAAAAGUUACGCUAAACAAAUGGAGUCAUAUGUUUGUCUGCAAGAAAAUGAAAGGAAAAUGGGAAAGUACGAAAAAGUGGAGAUUUUUUGGCCUCAUGACUUUCUCAAGGUGAAUUUCUUUUCAAUAUUCCCUGACAGGAAACUCGCAUGUGAGAUCCUUAAACAAACUUUGUAAUUUAAUCUUCGUUCCUCAAACUAAAAAUUAUUUAAUAAGAGUAAUAGUCGAGAAAUUAGUAAUUAAAUGAAAAUAUGAUCUUCGCA